UGUUAUAUUUCAGUAAAAUGCUUAUAGACAAAUUUCUAUAUUCAUAUAUAUACAUAUAUUUGACAUAUAUACAAAUAUAUACACACAUAUAUAUGUACAUAUAUGUGUGUGAUUUUCCAUAAAUGAAGAAUGGAAUCAUAUCAGUUUUCCCUCUUUAUCUGUGGAGGACCAGCUCCAUGGCCCCUCACAGAUGCCAAAAUCUGUAGAUGUGCAAUACCUUAUAAAAUGGAAUAGGAUCUGCAUAUAUCUUCCUGUAUACUUUAAAGUAUUUCUGGGCUACUUAUAAUACCUAAGAGAAUGUAAAUACUAUGUGAUAUUUGUUGUACUGCAUUAUUUACAGAAUGACAAAAAGUCUCUAUGUGUUUAGUACAGAUGCAGUUUUCAAAAAAAUAUUUUCAAUCUGCAGUGCUCAAAUCUGUGGAUAUAGAACCACAGACACAAAGGGCUGACUGUAGAGCACUUUUUUAGGGCUGCCAUCUCCUCCUGGCUCUUUUCUUUUUUAUAUACCUAAGGAUUACCCUCUUCUCCCCUCCAUGCUUUACCUCACCCCAGGUCAUAUAUGAAUUAAUAACAUGGUAUACAACCAUCCAUAGUUCUCCAUGCUCAGGGAUGCACAUAUCUGUAUCUAUACCUAAGUCUAUCAAUAUUUUUAAAAUUGAUUAUAUCAUCCAUAGUUUUCUGCCCCUUGCUAGUCUCAAACAAAUAGGCCAUCCCAAUCAGCAUCUCAUACUCUAAUUCAUUAUCUACAAUAACUAUUUACUAUAUGGGCAUUCUAGUUUUCUACCACCCUGAGCAGUGUUGAAUUAAACAUGUUUACACAUACAUCAUUCAGGUGGGUUUACAGCUAGAGGACACCUUGAGAAGUGAACUACUGAAAAAAAAGCACAUGUAUUUUUAAUUUUAAUAUGCUGACAUUAUUUUUUUUAUAAGAAGACAUCUGUAAUCUAUGAAAGUACUCUUUUCUCUGCAGUUCCUUGGAUCUUUUUUUUUUUUAAGAGAGAGAGAGAAUUUUUUUUAAUAUUUAUUUUUUUUAGUUUUUGGCAGACACAACAUCUUUGUUUGUAUGUGGUGCUGAGGAUCGAACCCGGGACGCACGCAUGCCAGGCGAGCGCUUGAGCCACCCCCAGCCCAGUUCCUUGGAUCUUAACUGCAAGCUGCCAUACGGAGAAAUCCCAUAACUAAGAACAGCCAGCAAGUACUGAGGACUUCAGUUCAAUAUCCCCAAAGAAAUCUAAUCCUACCAAUACCCACACGAGCUUAGAAGUGGCUAAUUUUCUUGUUGAACCUUCUAAUGACACCCCAAUACAAGCUGACACCUCAACUGCAGUAUCACAAAAGACAAUGAAGGAGAAGACCCAGUCAAGUCAUGCCUGGAUUCCUGACUCACAGACACGGUCAUAUAAUACAGCUGUGAAAAACAACAAAGAAGUUCUCAAGGUACUGGUGUGAGAAGAUCUCCCAUACUGUUGAAUGAAAAAAGUGAGGUACAAACAUGUUACCUUUUGUGUGAAAAGGAACAAAAUAAGCAUUCACAUUUGUAUUUGUUUAUAUCCUCAUACAAACUUGGGAAGACACAUGAGAAAUGAACAGUGAUUGCUGGGAUUGUUGAAUAGAUGUGGGAACUAGGUGAAGACUUUUCAUCGUGCGUCAGGGAUGGAAAUUGCUGCUCUACUCCUCUUUUAAUAAAACCUUCCAAACUUCAGUGAUCAUAUGGACACCCAGCUACACACUACUUUUCCCAGACUCCCUUUCUGCUAGGUGUGGCCAGUCACCAAGAACUGGCCAAUGGAGUAUGAGCAGAAGUGAGGUGUUCAAGUUCUGGGACUUCAGCAUCAUUCGUCCUUCUCCUGGUGGAACAUGAUAUGAUAAUGUGAGUCAGUGUCUACCCUGUGGAUGAAGACAUUGCUCUAGGGGAUGGCAUAAGAGAAUGACUUAUAUCCCAGAAGAACCAGUGCAAUAGAGCCACCACCCCAUACUAGAUGGCUUCUCUUCCUCUGGGAGAAAAGCUGAAAUUUCUACCUCAUGGUAGAAAAGCUGAAAUUCUAUCUUGUUUUCAGUGCUUUGUGUCUCCUCUUUAUUAUAGUAACUUAGCCUGAAUUUUAGCCAAAGCAGAAGUUAUGGACCUUAAAAUGAGAUACUACAGUAUCAAUAAUUUGGAGCCUCAUGGAGCUGGAAAAGCAAAUUCUUCUCUACCUAAAUUCUUCUCUCCCAGUGCUUAAAUGAAAUUCUUUAGUUAAGUAUUCUUGGACAGACAUGGAAGUCAGUCUACUUGAAAGAUCAAAUAAAGGGUACAGCUUACAAAUAUUUGCUGAAAUGAGGAGGAAAGGGAUGGUCAGAAAUAGAUACCAGUAACUAAUUUAGACCCCACUGACUUAAAAACCUUGUCCCAAAAGAGAUCUUUGGAGUGGAGACCUGGGACAGACUGGAAGUCAUGAGAAUCUAUUUCGUUUUUGAGAGGCAUGUAGUGCCACAUGUCUGGCCUAUAAAAACCUAGGGCUUCUCAACUCCUGAAAAGACCAUUAGACCCCCAAACCUGCACCAGUAAGAAAUGUAUUCUGGAGCAUUUGAAUACAUGCAAGGACAUGUCCUCCAGUGAUGGCUUCAGAUGGGGCUAAAAGGCCAGGCCAGGAGCCAUAGAGAACUAUAGACAAGGCGCUGUUCUACCCGGCAGCACCAAGAUUCAGCCAAGAGCUCAAUGUUCUGCAGGACAAGGACUAUGUACAAUCCCUGCUCAACAGAAUUUCAUCACUGCAAUGGAUUAAUGACUGUUUGUAUUUCUCAUCCCUCACUUUUCCAGGUAAGAACUUGCACAGUGGCUCCUACUUCACCUUCUAUGUUGCAUUGGGGAGGUGGGGAAUGGAAGCAAUUCUCUAUAGUUUUAUAGGUUUUCAAGGUAAGAAGGACCAGGCCCUGAUCUAAUGAAGGACUGAUGUGUAUCCACACAGAAAUCUUGAAUUUUAGGUUAGAGGCAUCACCUAGACACUGAUUCUUUUUGGUGAGGGAGAAAUGGCUUCUAUUUGGGAAGAAGAGUGCACGUGGAUAUAUGGAUAGCCAAAGGGGAAAACUAAAGCAGAAGCCGCUAAUUAUUUUCUCAAAGUCUAUUCUUUCUGUUUAUAAUCAAAGCUCAAGAAUGUAAAGUGGUCACAGAGUCACACACCUAUACUUUUCCCAGUCUAUGUUGCUGAUAGGUGUAUCUUUGUGAUUGAGAACUUGAUAAUAGAUGUGACAGGUGAUGUAUAAACUUCUCUUCUUUCCCUCCUUCCUGUGGGCUGAAAUGCAGGUGUAUUAGUGGUGAGCAGCUUUGAAAACUCAGACAAUACCUUAGAAUACAAAAAAAAAAAAAAAAAAAAAUUCACUAUUAGGAUGGUGGUGGCAUAAUGAGAGAGGGGAAGUGGGUCCCUGCACAACUGUAUGGAACACAGCAGGUCACCCAUCUUGACUACCUGCCUAUGUCAACUACUGUGUGAGAUAAAAAUUUCUAUCUUAAUUGAGUCAUUGUAUUUUUGAGCCUCAGCUAUUACUGUUCAGCCAGGACCCUUACUAGCAUAAUAUCUUCUUAUAAUUUUAGGUUUCUGAGCUGUAAGAAUAUUGCCUAGGGCUGGGGAUGUGGCACAAGUGGUAGCGCGCUUGCCUAGCAUUUGUGAGGCACUGGGUUCGAUUCUCAGCACCACAUAAAAAUAAAAUAAAAGAUAUUGUGUCCACCUAAAGAAAAAAAAGAAUAUAUUGCCUAUUUGUGAUAUUAAUUUUUAAAAAAGAAAUAACUUCCUAAAGGUUUCAGGAUACCCAUAAAAAAAUGUUCCUUUUUAAAAACUCCAUAAUAUUACUUCUUUUUAAAAUUUUUUUUUUUUUUUGUAGUUACAGAUGGACAGCAUACCUUUGUUUAUUUUUAUAUGGUGCUAAAAAUCAAACCCAGUGCCUCACAUGUGCUAGGCAAGCACUCUGCCACUGAGCUACAGUCUCAGCCAUUAUAAUACUUCUGAGACAUAAAAUUGAGGAAAUAUUGCAAACACAUGAGAAAAAAAAGAUGCAGAGAUGUUCACCAUUACAGCUCAGCUCCAGAAUAUAGAGAAGCAGUGAGAAGAAAAAAGAAAGAAAGAGAGAGAGAAAGAAAGAAAGAACAAGAAACAUGCUAAAUGCUCAACCAUAGGGAAUAACCGUAUACACUUCAGGACAGAUCCAGCUUUUCUGAUCUUUACAAGUGAAACUAUGUUUAACAUAUUUCAUCAAAAUUACCUAUUUGAAAAAGUAAAUCGUCAGAUUAAUAAGCUAUUAAUCCUAUCUUUGCAAAGUAUUUCCACUCUAAAAUGAUAUUCACUGAUACUGACAAUGGAUCUUUGAAUGUUAAUAUUUGAGAGGAAUUUUUUGAUUAUUUUGUAUUUUAAAUAUUAAAAUAAUAAACAUACUUUUUCACAAAUAAUAAAUUUCAUGUUGUUUCAAGAUAGGUAUUUCUUAAAAUUUUUUAAAUAAUGAUAAAUUCUAAAGGAAUGGCCUACAAAAGUUUUUAUACAGGAUGAUGCCAAGUAUUUUCUUUAAGUAUAAAAACAUAUAUCAGAAAAGAGGCAAAUAUGCUAAAAUUUUAACAGUGAUUUUAGGAUUAGAGAUAGAUUUCCCCUCAUAAUCUGAAAGGUUAUUUGCAUAAUUAAAAAAAAAAGGUAACUAAUAGUUUUGCUGCUUCUGUUAAAAAUUCUCCUUCCAUGACCCCAAAUAGUAAAUAAUUAUACAUAUAAGAAGUUUAAAGUCUGCCUGACUACUGGGUCAAAGACCUAAUUAUUGUGUCUUAGGGUAAACAAAGAUCACGUACAUUUCAACAAAUUAUUUAACUACGUGCGACGAGAGCAUUAGUAUAAACUGAAAGCAAACUCACCCAGCACUCAUUACACCGUGAAGGACUAUUUUACAAGACGUUGGCGGAAAGAAAAAGACCACCCCACGCCUCCUGGAAGGGCACCUGUGGUUCUGGCACAACUUCCAUCUCCAGGGACUGCUCUCAUGCGCCAGCUGGCAGGCCCUGUUGCCACCCCACAUCUGUAUGGAAGCCACGUACCGAACCUGGUUCUCCAAGAA